AACGGCAGCGGGUUGUAGCAAUACAAUGCCGGCGAGUGGCGCACGGGUGCGUAACACGUAUGCAACCUACCCUAUACUGGGGCAUAACCUUUAGAAAUGAGGGCUAAUACUCCAUGUAAUUAUGAGAAGGCAUCUUUUUAUAAUUAAAGAUUUAUCGGUAUAGGAUGGGCAUGCGUCCCAUUAGUUAGUUGGUAAGGUAACGGCUUACCAAGACUGUGAUGGGUAGGGGUCCUGAGAGGGUUCACCCCCACACUGGUACUGAGACACGGACCAGACUCCUACGGGAGGCAGCAGUAAGGAAUAUUGGGCAAUGGCCGUAAGGCUGACCCAGCCAUGCCGCGUGCAGGAAGACGGCCUUAUGGGUUGUAAACUGCUUUUUUGUGGGAAUAACCGUAGCUAUGCGUAGCUACCUGCAAGUACCAUAAGAAUAAGCAUCGGCUAACUCCGUGCCAGCAGCCGCGGUAAUACGGAGGAUGCGAGCGUUAUCCGGAAUCAUUGGGUUUAAAGGGUGCGUAGGCUGGUAUUUAAGUCAGUGGUGAAAUUUUCGUGCUUAACAUGAGAGCUGCCAUUGAUACUGGGUACCUAGAGUGUAUUUGAUGUGGGCGGCAUGUGUUGUGUAGCGGUGAAAUGCUUAGAUAUGACACAGAACACCGAUAGCGAAGGCAGCUCACAAAGUUACAACUGACGCUGAUGCACGAAAGCGUGGGGAUCAAACAGGAUUAGAUACCCUGGUAGUCCACGCUGUAAACGAUGAUCACUAGCUGUUGGCGAUAUACAGUCAGUGGCUAAGCUAAAGCGAUAAGUGGUCCACCUGGGGAGUACGUCCGCAAGGAUGAAACUCAAAGGAAUUGACGGGGGCCCGCACAAGCGGAGGAGCAUGUGGUUUAACUCGAUGAUACGCGAGGAACCUUACCUGGGCUUGAACGUAUGGUGCAUUGCAGUGAA
rnacentral:rRNA from 1 species